AGCAGCCGCGGUAAUUCCAGCUCCAAUAGCGUAUAUUAAAGUUGUUGCAGUUAAAAAGCUACGUAGUUGAAUUUCGGGAUCAAGUCGUCGGUCGUGCUCAGGUACGUACUGGCGUCAUUGAUUUCUCCCUUCUGACGAACCAUGAUGUCAUUAAUUUGGUGUUAUGGGAAAUCAGGACUGUUACUUUGAAAAAAUUAGAGUGUUUAAAGCAGGCUCACGCUUGAAUACAUUAGCAUGGAAUAAUGAAAUAGGACGUUCGAUCCUAUUUUGUUGGUUCUAGGAUCAACGUAAUGAUUAAUAGGGAUAGUUGGGGGCAUUAGUAUUCAAUUGUCAGAGGUGAAAUUCUUGGAUUUAUUGAAGACUAACUACUGCGAAAGCAUUUGCCAAGGAUGUUUUCAUUAAUCAAGAACGAAAGUUAGGGGAUCGAAGACGAUCAGAUACCGUCGUAGUCUUAACCAUAAACUAUGCCGACUAGGGAUCGGAUGAUGUUAAUUUUUAAUGUACUCAUUCGGCGUACCCG
rnacentral:rRNA from 1 species